UUAAUUUACUUGUGCUUAUAUAUGCUAAAACUGGAACUAUACAGAAAAGAUUGGCAUUGCCCCUGGACACGGAGAUACACGGAUAUGUGAAGCUUCCACAGCUUUU
ensembl:snRNA U6 U6 spliceosomal RNA